UUUAUCCUACGGGGGGCAGCAGUGGGGGAUAUUGCACAAUGGGGGGAACCCUGAUGCAGCGACGCCGCGUGGGUGAAGAAGCGCCUCGGCGCGUAAAGCCCUGUCAGCAGGGAAGAAAAUGACGGUACCUGAAGAAGAAGCCCCGGCUAACUACGUGCCAGCAGCCGCGGUAAUACGUAGGGGGCAAGCGUUAUCCGGAUUUACUGGGUGUAAAGGGAGCGUAGACGGCAGUGCAAGUCUGAAGUGAAAGGCAAGGGCUCAACCCUUGGACUGCUUUGGAAACUGUGCUGCUGGAGUGUCGGAGG
rnacentral:rRNA from 1 species